rnacentral:rRNA from 1 species
AAACGGCUACCACAUCCAAGGAAGGCAGCAGGCACGCAAAUUACCCACUCCCGGCACGGGGAGGUAGUGACAAAAAAUAACGAUACGGGACUCAUCCGAGGCCCCGUAAUCGGAAUGAGAACACCCUAAAUCCUUUAACGAGGAUCUAUUGGAGGGCAAGUCUGGUGCCAGCAGCCGCGGUAAUUCCAGCUCCAAUAGCGUAUAUUAAAGUUGUUGCGGUUAAAAAGCUCGUAGUUGGUUCUGCGUGCCACGCUGUCGGUUCACCGCCUGUCGGUGCAACUGGCAUGCCGUGGCAUGUCCUGUCGGUGGCUGACAGGCUUCACGGCGCGCCCUAUGCGUUCACACGUGUAGGCUGCUGCGCCGCGUUGUCCUUGUAGGCCGGCUCAAUCCUACCGCGGUGCUCUUUGCCGAGUGUCGAGGUAGGCCGACACUGUUUACUUUGAACAAAUUAGAGUGCUUCAAGCAGGCUCUUAAAGCAGCCUGAAUAGUGGUGCAUGGAAUAAUGGAACAGGACCUUGGUUCUAUUUUGUUGGUUUCCGGAAUCCAAGGUAAUGAUCAAUAAGGACAGGCGGGGGCAUUCGUAUUGCGACGUUAGACUUGGCAAAUGCUUUCGCGGUGAAAUUCUUGGAUCGUCGCAAGACGCACUAGAGCGAAAGCAUUUGCCAAGUAUGUCUUAAUUGAUCAAGAACGAAAGUUAGAGGUUCGAAGGCGAUCAGAUACCGCCCUAGUUCUAACCAUAAACGAUGCCAGCCAGCGAUCCGCCGAUGUUCCUCCGAUGACUCGGCGGGGAGCUUUCCCCGGGAAACCAAAGCUUUUGGGUUCCGGGGGAAGUAUGGUUGCAAAGCUGAAACUUAAAGGAAUUGACGGAAGGGCACCACCAGGAGUGGAGCCUGCGGCUUAAUUUGACUCAACACGGGAAACCUCACCAGGCCCGGACAUUGGAAGGAUUGACAGAUCGAUAGCUCUUUCUCGAUUCAGUGGGUAGUGGUGCAUGGCCGUUCUUAGUUGGUGGACUGAUUUGUCUGGUUAAUUCCGAUAACGAACGAGACUCUGACCUAUUAACUAGGCGCUCCCGGUAUAAAUACCUACCGGCGAGAUUUAUUCUUCUU